rnacentral:rRNA from 1 species
UACAGAGGUCUCAAGCGUUGUUCGGAUUCAUUGGGCGUAAAGGGUGCGUAGGCGGCGCGGUAAGUCGGGUGUGAAAUCUCGGAGCUUAACUCCGAAACUGCAUUCGAUACUGCCGUGCUUGAGGACUGGAGAGGAGACUGGAAUUUACGGUGUAGCGGUGAAAUGCGUAGAUAUCGUAAGGAAGACCAGUGGCGAAGGCGGGUCUCUGGACGGCAACUGACGCUGAGGCACGAAAGCGUGGGGAGCAAACAGG